UUGAGCCUAGUGCAGUGAAAGUUGCACGCUGGUUCUUAGGAGGGCGGCACUUGGUAACAAGUGUCGUCUAUCCGAC
rnacentral:ncRNA from 1 species